UCGAAAUCCGCUAAGGAGUGUGU
rnacentral:ncRNA from 2 species